rnacentral:lncRNA from 1 species
GUAGUUAAAUUCUAAAAUAGUAUGGGAGUUUAAAGUGAAGUUUGUGAGAGUUUAAGAAGCUAGAUUAACACUCAUUUCUUGAUUUUAUUAUGGAUUUAAGGUAAGAAUUCAAACAUUUCUUAAUAAUUUCUUGAUUACAACAACAACAACAACAAAUCCAGUGUAUUCCCACCUAGUGGGGUCUGGGGGGGUAAGAUGUACGCAGUCCAUACCUCUACCUCUGAAGAAGUAGAAAGGCUGUUUCCGAUAGACCCCCGGCUCAAGGCACGAGAUACCACACAAACACAUAGUAAAGCACAACACAAGAUUAUAUAACAUAAAUACGGCACCCAUAUGUAAUAUACAACAGAGGAAAGCACACAGAUUCAUAAUAAAACAUGGAACACGGACUCAUAACUAGAAUAAAACCCCUACCAAGUAAUUCUCUACACUAGCGACUCAAACUGGCCCUAGUCCUCUGCCCUAAUUCGCGUCCUCCAGACCUUCCUAUCUAGGGUCAUGUCCUCGGUGAGCUGUAACUGCUCCAUGUCCCGCCUAAUCACCUCACCCCAGUACUUCUUCGGCCUACCCCUACCCUGCCUAAAACCAUCCAACGCUAGCCUCUCACACCUACGGACCGGGGCAUCCAUGCCCCUCCUCUUCACGUGUCCGAACCAUCUCAAUCGGGCUUCCCGCAUCUUGCACUCCACUGGAGUCACACCAACCUUCUCCCGGAUAGUCUCAUUCCGAACUCUAUCCCCUCUAGUCAGCCCACACAUCCAGCGAUUUCUCAAAAUCUCAAAAAUCUUAGGGCUUGAUUUUAAAUUUCAAUUUCACUUAUUUUCACUUGAAUAAUAUUUUACCUUAUGAUUACAAAUCUUUCAUUAAUUUAACCCUUAAAACAACUUAGAUUUUUGACUUUAACUCGAAUUUCAAAGAAUUUAUCUAGUAAAGCUUAAAAUGGGGUUUCUUUGAUUUGAACCUCGUUUUUUACUCGAGUUUUCAGUUGUAGGUUCCUAGUGAAGUUUCAAUUUUGCCCUUCUUUUUUAAAAAUCCGUUUCGGG